rnacentral:rRNA from 1 species
UACGUAGGUGGCAAGCGUUGUCCGGAAUUAUUGGGCGUAAAGCGCGCGCAGGUGGUUCCUUAAGUCUGAUGUGAAAGCCCCUGGCUCAACCAGGGAGGGUCAUUCGAUACUGUUCGACUCGAAGGCAGGAGAGGGAAGUGGAAUUCCGGGUGUAGUGGUGAAAUGCGUAGAUAUCCGGAGGAACACCAGUGGCGAAGGCGACUUUCUGGCCUGUUCUUGACGCUGAGGCGCGAAAGCUAGGGGAGCAAACGGG